UCGAAUCUGCUUUAGAAUCGGAUUCGAUCAACCUUUUCUGAUCGAAUUUUUAUCGCCAGAUGAGAAGCUCCACGGGUCUUCCCUCUUUCCUUCUUCGACUGGGCAGUUCAACAGUCAAAAGGCGACAUCUUGCGUUGAAUGAAACAUGGAGUCGAAGACCCUUGGCUGAAGAAACCUUCAAUUUUCCAGAAGAACGCGACCUCCAAAUCAAGUAAUUCGGUUUUCUUGAAGAAAGCCAAGUAAUUGUUGCGACCCAAAUUGUUCUCAAGUUAGAAGUGGUGGAUGCAAUUGAUGAGCAUCUUGCUUCCGCGUGCUUAUGUGUUGGAGCCUUCCCAUCAGUGUUCUUGUUCUUGUAGGCGUUUGGUAGAACUGGAACAGUGCUCAAUAUCUCAGAAGAGAUGCAAGACGAUUCCAAGGCUUCGGCUAAGCAAGUCUCUUCAUCGAGAAAUCACUGUGGAAAGGCUUUUGUUUUAGAAAAGCCAUCCACAGUAAACUACACCGCAAAAUGUUGGACUACUUCCUCAACGACGAACACACGUCUCAGUGAUAAUUGACAUGCUAAUGGUUGGCAUUUCCACCCCCUUGAUGAUACGAUGAGGACUACAAUGAUG
rnacentral:lncRNA from 1 species